CGAGGUGUUCUGAUAGACAUUUUAGGCUAAGACUAGACUGUUUAUAUUUUAGUUCAAAUAGGGCUUUGAAUAACUUUCACUAUUGUUAGUACUCUUAGAUCUGUACUUUUUGUUAUUUGUUUUUUCAUGCUUGGUGUCGAUUUGAUGAGAUGAGAUCCUUCAAGCUGAUUACAACAGUUGAAAUAAGUUGGUUUGUAACCUCACUGUCAAAGGUUAGGAGACAGUUUAUUGUUUACAUUCAUGUAA
rnacentral:lncRNA from 1 species